UACGUAGGGUGCGAGCGUUAAUCGGAAUUACUGGGCGUAAAGCGUGCGCAGGCGGCUUCGCAAGUCAGGCGUGAAAUCCCCGGGCUUAACCUGGGAAUGGCGUCUGAAACUGGCGAACUGGAGUGUGGCAGAGGGGGGUGGAAUUCCGCGUGUAGCAGUGAAAUGCGUAGAUAUGCGGAGGAACACCGAUGGCGAAGGCAAUCCCCUGGGCCUGCACUGACGCUCAUGCACGAAAGCGUGGGGAGCAAACAGG
rnacentral:rRNA from 1 species